rnacentral:rRNA from 1 species
UGCCAGCAGCCGCGGUAAGACGAAGGUGGCAACCGUUGUUCGGAAUCACUGGGCAUAAAGAGCACGUAGGCGGGAUUGUAAGUCGGGUGUGAAAUCCCUCGGCCUAACCGAGGAACUGCGCCCGAUACUGCAAACCUUGAGGAUGGGAGGGGAACGUGGAAUUCCUGGUGGAGCGGUGAAAUGCGUUGAUAUCAGGAGGAACACCGGCGGCGAAGGCGACGUUCUGGCCCAUUUCUGACGCUGAGGUGCGAAAGCCAGGGGAGCAAACGGGAUUAGAUA